rnacentral:rRNA from 1 species
AGUGUAGGCGGGAGUCUCUGUGGAGCGCGGUGUCCAAGUCCCUUGGAACAGGGUGCCUGAGAGGGUGAGAGCCCCGUAGGGUGCUGCGCGAAGCUUUUGAGGCCCUGCUGACGAGUCGAGUUGUUUGGGAAUGCAGCUCCAAGCGGGUGGUAAAUUCCAUCUAAGGCUAAAUAUUGGCGAGAGACCGAUAGCGAACAAGUACUGUGAAGGAAAGAUGAAAAGCACUUUGAAAAGAGAGUGAAACAGCACGUGAAAUUGUUGAAAGGGAAGGGUAUUGGGCUCGACAUGGGGGGUGCGCACCGCUGUCUCUUGUAGGCGGCGCUCUGGGCGCCCUCUGGGCCAGCAUCGGUUCCUGCUGCGGGAGAAGGGGCUCCGGAAAGUGGCUCUUCGGAGUGUUAUAGCCGGGGCCAGAUGCCGCGUGUGGGGACCGAGGACUGCGGCUUCUGUCUCGGAUGCUGGCAUAACGGCGCAAUACCGCCCGUCUUGAAACACGG